rnacentral:rRNA from 1 species
CGCUGGCGGCACGCCUUACACAUGCAAGUCGAACGGUAACAGGUUAAGCUGACGAGUGGCGAACGGGUGAGUAAUAUAUCGGAACGUGCCCAGUCGUGGGGGAUAACUGCUCGAAAGAGCAGCUAAUACCGCAUACGACCUGAGGGUGAAAGCGGGGGAUCGCAAGACCUCGCGCGAUUGGAGCGGCCGAUAUCAGAUUAGGUAGUUGGUGGGGUAAAAGCCCACCAAGCCAACGAUCUGUAGCUGGUCUGAGAGGACGACCAGCCACACUGGGUCUGAGACACGGCCCAGACUCCUACGGGAGGCAGCAGUGGGGAAUUUUGGACAAUGGACGCAAGUCUGAUCCAGCCAUGCCGCGUGCGGGAAGAAGGCCUUCGGGUUGUAAACCGCUUUUGUCAGGGAAGAAAAGGUUCUGGUUAAUACCUGGGACUCAUGACGGUACCUGAAGAAUAAGCACCGGCU